CAGUAGCUGGACCCCCCGAGCUAGAAGAAGCAAUUCAGAUCACUACGUCUUCGAAACUGCGACUGUUCUAUCGAGUAGACUGCAUGGUGGACAGUGCUCGCUUUUGGAUUUUUUAAAGAUCAUCGGCUUUACCCGCAAAGAAAUUCGAACAGCUUUAGACGUUGCUGUGGACCGGCAAAGAUAUCUUUAUCAAAAUUUGACUCAGUUCGAACAUCGCUUAGACCUUUUGGGCAGCAGGAACUUAGUCAGCCGAGCACCAGAGCCAGAACCCGCGGAAGUUGAAGAUGAACUCGCGGAAACCGAAGAUCAACCCGCUGCAGUCGAAGAUGAACCGG